rnacentral:rRNA from 1 species
GAGUCCCUACGGGGCGCAGCAGUGAGGAAUAUUGGUCAAUGGGCGGGAGCCUGAACCAGCCAAGUCGCGUGAGGGAAGACGGUCCUAUGGAUUGUAAACCUCUUUAGGCGGGGAGCAAUGCCGGGCACGUGUGCCCGGAGGGAGAGUACCCGCAGAAUAAGCAUCGGCUAACUCCGUGCCAGCAGCCGCGGUAAUACGGAGGAUGCGAGCGUUAUCCGGAUUUAUUGGGUUUAAAGGGUGGGUAGGCGGAUUUUUAAGUCAGCGGUAACAUGUCCGGGCUCAA